ensembl:lncRNA
GUCAAGGCUGGUACAGGGACCACACCAUAACAUCAAUAUUAUGUUCUCCGGACCUGGAAUCUGUUUCCAUUCAGUGCAAACCUUACAGUUCAACCCAGAACUUCUGCUCAGUCAUUUUGGCAGGAGUUCACAUCACCUCAAGUCCCUGUGCCAUCUGAAGACAACAGCUACUGGCUGUCCCGAUAACUGGCAGGGUCUCGGCCCCCCAUCAAGAGAACUCCUGCAACUCCUCAACAUUUGUUGAUUUGAAUGUCUUUUUGGACCGAGCAGUGAUUUACACAGUGCAAACUGUUACAGAGAACUGUGGAAACAGAACCAUAAGCAAAGCUGUUAACAUCUCUAUUGCUAAACCCACGGGUAGGUAACAAUCAAAUGUUGUCUUAUCAAACCAGCUAUUAUAAAAUUCACAUUAAUGACAGGUAUUGUGAUGACAUUUCAAUUUAAAUAAUUUCUUAAUACACUUUUCCAUUCACAUAUGCAACUGUGGAAUGUUUUGGACUAACAGAGAUUAGCGAUUGGUUUAACACAUGUGCAAUGCCUUGACCUAACCAAAAUCUCAGCAUGAUUUGUCCAACAUUACUAACUAGCGAGCUAACAUCAGCUAAGCUAGGAAACUUAACUGUGGCAGCCAGUCAAAAAUAAUAUACAGUUUCAUAACAAACACAACCAACAACGCACAGAUUGGUUUUAAUUUUACUUGUUCAAAAAAAGACUAAUUUUGAAUGUUGAAUACAUUGAUCUUAGUACUUGGCUGGCACCAAUUCAACUUGCCUGAAAACAAUAACCAGAAGCAGCAGUAAUUUUCAGUGUUCUUGGCAUCUGGUCUGCCACAAGCAUGCUGUGCAUCACCUUCAUGCUGUAAUGUUGACCACCAGUUGGAAGUAUCUUUUCUGAACUUAUCCUUUGUGUCAUUGUUGACAGUAGUUGAAUACAAGCAAUGUGCUUGUUGAAUUCCAUUUAUGAAUGACAGAUAUUGAGUCUCACUGCGUAGUCAGUCUGAACUCAUUACUCAAUGGUGCCUUUCAAGACUAAUGUGGUAUGUACACUCACCUAAAGGAUUAUUAGGAACACCUGUUCAAUUUCUCAUUAAUGCAAUUAUCUAAUCAACCAAUCACAUGGUAGUUGCUUCAAUGCCUUUAGGUGUGUGGUCCUGGUCAAGACAAUCUCCUGAACUCCAAACUGAAUGUCAGAAUGGGAAAGAAAGGUGAUUUAAGCAAUUUUGAGCGUGGCAUGGUUGUUGGUGCCAGACGGGCCGGUCUGAGUAUUUCACAAUCUGCUCAGUUACUGGGAUUUUCACGCACAACCAUUU